GCAGACACAUUCCAGCCAAUCAGCAGCAGACCCUCCCUCCCAGACCCUCCCACCUCCUGGACAGCAUCCAUUUUACAUUCAUUGUGAAGCUGCAUUCUUAGUGAGCUGACCAGGAGGUGGGAGGGUCUGGGAGGGAGGGUCUGCUGCUGAUUGGCUGGAAUGUGUCUG
rnacentral:miRNA from 1 species